rnacentral:ncRNA from 1 species
GAGAAUGCGUUGAAGAGGAGUAGUACGAAAGGCAACCACGGCAUCAGAGAGUUGACGGCAGGUGCGAGUCAACCCGUGACUUUCCGAACUCGCCUCGAAGCACUCCGCCCGAAGGCCGGCUGGUUCCGCCGGCUGCGUAAGGAGGAGCGUCUCGUCCGCGAUAGGGACAUCAAGCGGGUGAACGAUUCGUUCGCCAAUCAGGGUGGUACCGCGGGAGCGUCUGAAUCCUCUCGUCCCUUUC